AUCAAGAUUUUUUGUGUGUUUAUACAUGAAUAUACAUAUUUUCCAAACAGGUGUCGAUCAUUACUAUCGAAUGGUUUGGUUGGAUGCUCGUGAUGUAUAAAUACAUGAGUGUUUUUGGCAGAUGUCAUUGAGCCUUUAAAAGGAAGAGGGAUUAUGGGAUGUAAGAUGGCUGCCUAGUGCCUCCGAUUAUGUUUCAUGAACCUCCAAUGGCCAGGAAAACAAAACAAAAAAAUUGUGAACGGGAAGUAGGCAAAGUUAUAUCAAACUCAAGCUUGAAUUGUAAUUUUGAGGGUUCCAUCCUUCUAGCUGUGAUAUAACCACAAUUGAAGGAUUGGCAAUUUUUGGUGGUGGUUUUAUAAUAAUGAAAACAAGAUGCGACACUGUUGAAUGGUAAAAGUUGUUGUUUAGUCCCCUUAAUGUGUUGUCAACUUGCUGGGAAUGUAAUUUUAGUAUUUCUAGAACUAUUUCGUCACAAAAGACUAGCGAUGUUUUUUUUUCUUCUCUUCCCUUUUAUAUAAAAACUUUCUGGAAACAAACCAAAUGAGUCCCUAAAAUUAUAAUUAAAGUUGUGGUUAUGGAGAAGACGUUGUGACAAGUGGAUGGUGGAGGUUGGAAUGGCAUAGUGAACAUGAUUAUUGUUCAAGCGGAGAUGCAGCUGGUUACAGCUUAAAAAGUGAAUGCACAUUAUUAACGAUGGUGGUGGUGGUGGUUUUUGACAAUUGUGUCUUUGUGGUAGUGGUGGCUAUGAUGAUGGUGCACAAAUCUUAGUAAUAGGACAUAGGAGGUUUCUCAUGAGGUUGUAGUUUCUUUUUUAAGGUUUCUAGGGUUGUAGCUGUAUGUAAGUGUUAUUGGGAACAAGGGCUAAUGGCAGUUAUGGCAUGACAACAGAAGUUGUGUGUAAAAAGUGGUAGUGUGGUAGAAGGUGCCUUCCAUUGAGAAGUUUUAAGAGGUGGAUCCAGCUUGAUAGCACAAAAUUUGGAACUUGACAAUAUAUUGCCCUUUCCUUGUUUUUCUGUUCGAAACUUCUUGUUUGUUCUUACUGUAUUCUUCAGAUAUUACAUCAAGCUUUGUGAUACUUAAUUAAAAAUUUUAAGAAGAUUUGUUUCACCCGUGCGUGUUGUUUAGUUUGUUGUAUAUGUAGUACUGAGCAGAAUAAUAAGUUGUAAAUUUACUGAGAACAGAACUUGUGGCCUUCUGCAGUUUGCUUAAUUUAUGAUUUUUUUUUCUUUCAUUUUUUGGCAAUUUGUUCUUGUAUUGAGGUCAGAUUUAAGAUUUUCAAGGAUUGUUUACCUCUUCCGGAAAAUGCUUUUAAAGCAGCUAUCAGAGACAACUACCAGGGAGGUUCUAAGUUCAAACAAGAGCUCAAUAGCAAACAGGUGCAUGCUUUAAUCUCAUUGUUCUGGCCUCUUACCGAGUCAGUGCCUACUUCUGCUCCCCCUCUCCGAGAUGUGGCAAGACCAGGCUCAUUUCCAUCUCCUAUUGCAGAAGAAGGAUUUCGUCCAACAGCAAGGCUGUCCCAUCAAGAGGGCUCCUAUUCAUAUAGUGUGCAACGCACUCAUGCAUUGCCGCUUGAUUUGCAAUCCAGGCAGGCGAUCCCUUUUCCACUGUAUGAUCAAAUAUGAGGUCAAAACACAUGUGGAAGAUUGACGGCGUGACUUAGUGCCUCAACAUGUUCAGCAUGCUUCUCUUCCACAUCAUGCCGAUUCGUAUUAUUUAGCGGCGGCACAUGAGCGGUACUUGCCCGAAAACCUUUCCCAUCAUGAUGCGUAUAGAAGGCAUAGGGUGACACUUGCAGAGGAGAUGGUUCCCAGGGAUCAAGUUGUUUUGUAUGGAAGCGAGUAUGACAUGCCCCAUUUGUCGAAGGAGAGAGAGAGAGAGAGAGAGAUAUUGCUCUGCGUUCCAAUUAUGUGGUCGAAUCUUAUAGUCGAGAGUUGCCCGCCGCUGCAGCCUCACAUGUUAUGCUGCACUCGCAUUCUUUAGCACCGUCUUAUGAACGAAUAUUAACGUACCAACGGUACUAUCCAGUGACAACCCGUCAGGGUCAGAGCUUGGUGUAUGCUGAUCCUCUUCAAAGACCAUUGCAUGGGACCUCUUACUCAGCUGAGGCUGAUGUUCCAAUCUCUACACAUUAUUCGUACAGUAGAGCUCCCCAUUACCGAUGAACGAAACUUGGAUGUGUAGAUUCAUUCAAGACAUGCUGGUAAUGUGUUGUUUCAUUGUCAAAUACUGGUCGGAACUUUAUACAAUCAUCUCCCGAGUCUCGCCGGUAAACUGUCUAUUCCGUUUUUCAUCUGUGCCAUCCAUCUCAAAGUGUAGAUCAUUUUCGAAAUCUGAGGCAUAAUCUAGCGCGCAAAGCAACGAAAUAAAUUAGAUCAGUCUGCCUUUGUUAGCACCUGCCAUGGCGGUGUGGAAUUACGUCUUCCCUUGAUAAGCUCAUGUCCUUAUACGAUUUCUAGUUUCUAUGCAGACUCUUGCAUUGAGGCAAACUUUGUAUAAGAUGUGAACCGUUUUGAGACGGGCCUUCAACUUCACUUGUGUAGAACUAUUCACCUCUUUCUCUCUUAAUUUGAGAAUCGAGUGUAAAGGAACAGUUAGUGUCAUGUUCAGAAAUCCAUCUUUUUACUUUUUACA